CCUGGUGGCAAUAGUGAGCGGGAACCACCUGAAUCCAUACCGAACUCAGAAGUGAAAACGCUUUAUGCCGAUGAUAGUGUGGGAUAACCCAUGUGAAAGUAGGUCACUGCCAGGA
rnacentral:rRNA from 1 species